rnacentral:ncRNA from 1 species
UGAAAAACUAGUUUUCUUAAUUUUUCUUUAAAAAUUAAGUGGCGACUCUAAACUAGUUUAAAUAUUAUAUUUUCUAAGAAAACAAUCUAUAUCAUAAGCAAAUCUUCCCCUCCACACCAAUCACAAUUUUUCUCUAUUCCUUGACUACAAGACCCACCUGUCGAGCUGGAACGAAAGUCGGCCUUAGUGAUCCGAUGGCGCUGAGUGGAAGGUUCGUCGCUCAACGGAUAAAAGUUACUCUAGGGAUAACAAGUUGAUCUUCCCCAAAAGUUCACAUUGACAGAAAGGUUUGGCACCUCGAUGUCGGCUCUUCGCUACCUGGGGUUGUAGUAUGUUCCAAGGGUUGGGUUGUUCGCCCAUUAAAGCGGUACGUGAGCUGAGUUCAGAACGUCGUGAGAUAGUUCGGUCCAUAUUUGAUGUGGACGUUAGAGCAUUGAGAAAACCUUUCCCUAGUUCGAAAGGACUAGGAGGGACGCACCUUUGGUGUACCGAUUAUCAUUCCCACAGUAAACGCUGGGUAGCCAAGUGCGGAGCGAAUAACUGCUGAAAGCAUCUAAGUAGGAAGCCCAUCCCAAGAUGAGUGCUCUCAUAAUCCUGAUAUUAUCUCGAUUUAAUUAAUACAUAUUAAUAAUUGAAUUUACAAUCAAAUAG